rnacentral:rRNA from 1 species
ACGGAGGGUGCAAGCGUUGCUCGGAAUCACUGGGCGUAAAGCGACCGCAGGCGGCCUGACAAGUCGGAUGUGAAAGCCCUGGGCUCAACUCAGGAAUUGCAUUCGAAACUGGUAGGCUUGAGUACGGGAGAGGGGGGUGGAAUUCCUGGUGUAGGGGUGAAAUGCGUAGAGAUCGGGAGGAACACCUGUGGCGAAGGCGGCCGUCUGGGCCGACCCUGACGCUGAGGCGCGAAGGCGUGGGGAGCGAACGGGA